CCCAUCUCCAGGCCACACCCCUGGGUUCAGAUCCCGCAGAAUAUGGGCUCAUUCUGUGACCGCCCAUACAGUGCCGAGGACUCUGAUUGGACCAACGUGAGUCACAUGCACACUUUGAACCAAUCACACGAGCCCAGGGGCUCAGGGUGCUGAUUGGCCAGGCCUGUCAGCAUGCUGUGAGUUGGGGGGAUCCAAUCAAGGACUUUUCAUGGAGAAGGCUGGGCGGUCACAGUGCUGGUCCCCUGGUGCUAGGUCUUCUCACCUGCUUUCUUGGCUGGCUGAGCCCCUGGGAAACCGGGAGGUCACAGAGAAGCUGAGGCCCCAUGCUGAUACCCUCAUAAGGAAACUGUAGCUUCUUGUUCCCUAGACUUCUUUGACCCAGUAUGGGCACCAUGGGAACCUGACGGCCCGGGCCCUGGACCCCCAACUGAGACCCACCCCGGGAGAAGCCUGGACCAAAGAGACUGAGUGGGGAUCAGGGCUCAGCCGCAGUAGGGCACGGGGGUCUGGAACAGCCCUGGUCCCCACGUCCUGAGAAUUCCCUUGGAGGGGACCCACCUUCAGGCAGAGGCUCCCAUUUUGGACUUUGUGUGAGUGAUUCAUAACUGGUUUCCUGUUGACCGUUAUACAUGUGCAGUUGUUUACAGCUUGCAGUGUCUCGGCUCAUUCAUCACCUCCCCCCCAUCCACAGAGCAACAUGGCUUUGUGGGGGUCACGGCAUUACCACGUCCACUCCAGUCCCUGCCUGUUGUUCUCUGAUGGAGACACAGCACCUGCUGGAUCACAGGACGAGGUGCCACCUGUGGGCUGUAGAUGAAGAUCACCCACUGCAGGAGGACCUGGGACGUGCGGAUCCAGGAGUUGACAUGACACGUGGGGAUCCAGGAGGUGACAUGACACGUGUGGAUCCAGGAGGUGACAUGACACGUGCGGAUCCAGGGGGUGACAUGACACGUGAGGAUCCAGGGGGUGACAUGACACGUGCGGAUCCAGGAGGUGACAUGACACGUGCGGAUCCAGGGGGUGACAUGACACGUGAGGAUCCAGGGGGUGACAUGACACGUGCGGAUCCAGGAGGUGACAUGACACGUGUGGAUCCAGGGGGUGACAUGACACGUGUGGAUCCAGGGGGUGACAUGACACGUGCGGAUCCAGGAGGUGACAUGACAUGUGCGGAUCCAGGGGGUGACAUGACACGUGCGGAUCCAGGGGGUGACAUGACACGUGCGGAUCCAGGGGGUGACAUGACACGUGUGGAUCCAGGGGGUGACAUGACACGUGCGGAUCCAGGAGAUGUGAGACGUGUGUGGAUCCAGGAGAUGAUGUCGGAUGUGAAGAUCCAGGAUACAACAUCAGAUGGGAGCAUGUUGUUGGAGAGAUAUUAUCAGAAAUAAAGAAUCCAGCAAAGAUGCUCCCAAUUAAAAGAUGUUUAAUAGGCAGAUGUUUU
rnacentral:lncRNA from 1 species